ACGAACGCUGGCGGCGUGCUUAACACAUGCAAGUCGAGCGGAAAGGCCCUUUCGGGGGUACUCGAGCGGCGAACGGGUGAGUAACACGUGAGUAAUCUGCCCUUCACUUGGGGAUAACCUCCGGAAACGGUGGCUAAUACCCGAUACGACCAUUCCUCGCAUGAGGUGGUGGUGGAAAGUUUUUCGGUGGGGGAUGUGCUCGCGGCCUAUCAGCUUGUUGGUGGGGUAAUGGCCUACCAAGGCUUCGACGGGUAGCCGGCCUGAGAGGGUGACCGGCCACACUGGGACUGAGACACGGCCCAGACUCCUACGGGAGGCAGCAGUGGGGAAUAUUGGACAAUGGGCGGAAGCCUGAUCCAGCAACGCCGCGUGAGGGAUGACGGCCUUCGGGUUGUAAACCUCUUUCACCUGUGACGAAGCGAAAGUGACGGUAGCAGGAGAAGAAGCACCGGCCAACUACGUG
rnacentral:rRNA from 1 species